AAUAAACUAUACGUGUCUGGCCCUUGAUGUGAUUCUUAUUGUCCAGUGUGGCCCUCAGUGAAGUUGAAUUUGACACCCCUGCUUUAAAGGGUGGAGUUCAAAAGGGGUCACAUGCUUAUUUCACAGAUAAGAGGAACAUUGUAUUUUGAUUCAAUGGUGAUUUAAGUUUUACAGGGCUUUUUCAACAUAAAAAAAAAAAAACUCUAGAGCGCCGCUUACUGUGCUCCGUGGCUGCAACACAAGUAGCGCCUGGAAGUACAGCCGACGCUACAA